rnacentral:rRNA from 1 species
GACGAACGCUGGCGGCGUGCCUAACACAUGCAAGUCGAGCGAGGUUGCGGAUGGGUGCUUGCACCCUGAAGCUACCUAGCGGCGGACGGGUGAGUAACGCGUGAGUAACCUGCCUUAUACAGGGGGAUAACAACGAGAAAUCGUUGCUAAUACCGCAUAAGACCACGGUAUCGCAUGGUACAGGGGUAAAAGGAGCAAUCCGGUAUAAGAUGGACUCGCGUCCCAUUAGCUAGUUGGUGAGAUAACAGCCCACCAAGGCAACGAUGGGUAGCCGACCUGAGAGGGUGAUCGGCCACACUGGGACUGAGACACGGCCCAGACUCCUACGGGAGGCAGCAGUGGGGAAUAUUGGGCAAUGGGCGAAAGCCUGACCCAGCAACGCCGCGUGAAGGAAGAAGGUCUUCGGAUUGUAAACUUCUGUCGUCAGGGACGAAAAAGGACGGUACCUGACAAGAAAGCCCCGGCUAACUACGUG